AGUGAACGCUGGCGGCGUGCCUAAUACAUGCAAGUCGAACGGAGCGGCGCACGGGCGAGUAAUGUAUAGCUAAUCUGCCCUACACUAGAGGACAACAGCUGGAAACGACUGCCACUACUCCAUACUGUAGGAUGAGGCUAUAUUGUAUCAGCUAGCUGGUGAGGUAAUGGCGCACCAAGGCUAUGACGCAUAACUGGUCUGAGGGGAUGAUGAGUAACCCUCGAACUGAGACACGGUCCAGGCUCCUUCGGGAGGCGGCAGAAGGGAAUAUAGCUCAAUGGGAGAAGCCCUGAAGCGGCAACGCCGCGUGAAGGAUGACACUUUUCGGAGCGUAAACUCCUUUUGUUAGGGGAGCGAUACCGGUCGAAUAAGCAACGGCUAACUCCGUGCCAGCGGCCGCGGUAAUAC
rnacentral:rRNA from 1 species